AUUAUAUACAGUCCUCAGCAUCAUGGGAGAAAAUAAUAUUUACUGCCAUAUGAAAAAACAGAGGCUGCUAGUCUGGAGGUGAAGGAUUGGUCAGCAAUGAACAGAAGUAUGAUUGACUUGCAACUAUGGAAAAUGUCAAUAUCAUACCUGCCCUUCAGAUAUUUGUCUUCAUAUACAAGACCCAUCUCCUAUAACUAACUGCUGGCCAUUUCAAAACCAAAUGGGCCUGCAAUUUUGAAAACCGAAUGCUAACUGCAAGGAAGACCAACAGUAUCUCCCAGGACUCUGACAGUACCAUUGAGCAAGCCUAUGAAAUAUCUGCAUUGUUUUUAACCAUUGCAAA